AUGAUUCCAUAAGCUUAAAGGAGGUUUUUAUUUAUACUAGUUCUAGGUCUUAAAAACUAGCUAACAAACAAUGUGGGAUAAUUGAAAGAAACAUAAAAAUUUUCAAUGUGGGAUAAUUGAAAAAAAUAAAAAUGAUAAGUGAGCAACUUUAGGCUCUUUGAAAAAAGUCUUCUUUUGCUUGUUCCAUAUUAAUCCCCGCCACUUAAGAAAAACUUGCCCUCGAGUUUAUGUCAGGAUACUAUGGAUUCUCAUUUAGAAAGUAGUAAUACAAAUGUAUAACAUUGAAAGUUUAUGAGAUCCCCCAAUUAUCUGGUAAAUCAAUCACAUAGGCAUUGUUAUUGAUUUUCUUUAAGGCCUUCUAGGGACCAGACUUCUUCAGCUUCAAUUUGUUGUAAGUGCCUAUAGGAAAUCUCUCUUUUGCAAGCACACCAUAACCAUAUCUCCUUCCUUGAAUACCUUCUCUCUCCUAUGCUUAUCAGUUGCUUCCUUGUACCUGGCAUUAGUAACUUCCAACUUCUUCUUCACUUCAGCUUGGGUUGAUUGUACUUACUCAGCCAUGUUGUUAGUUGUUACACUAAUCCUAGGAGUCUUUGAUAGGUGAACUAAAUCCAAAGCAUGCUUUGGCAUUUUCUUGUAAACAACAGAAAAUAAUGACGCUUUGAUAGAACUAUGCACUGAUAUAGGCAAAUUCAACUUAUGCGAGUGCAAAAUCCCAUUGUCUUGGUUUGUCACCACAAAUACAACAAAUCAAGUUUCCCAGAGUCCUAUUAGUUACCUCUGUCUGACCAUCAAUUUGUGGGUCAGUUGUGCUACUGAACUUCAAACUUGCGUCAAAUAUUUUUCACAAGAUCAGCUAAAAAUGAUAUAGAAAUUUAGAAUCUCUAUCAGAAGUGAUUGAUUUUGGUACCCCUUAUAGGCGUAUGACUUCUUGAAAGAAUAGCUUGGCAAUUUAUAUCACAUCGGGAGUCUUCUGACAUGGUUUGAAAUGGACCAUCUUCGAGAACCAAUCCACAACCACAAACACAGAAUCAAAUCCCCUCUAAGUUCUUGCAAUCUCAAUACAAAAUCCAUGGAUAAAUCCUUCCAAAUAUCUUCUGGAACUAGUAAUGGCAUAUAUAAACUAGUGUUCUACAACUACCCUUUUGCAGUUUGACAAGUCAAAUAUUUUCUUCAAAAUUACCAACAUCCUUUUUUAAUUGUGGCCAAAAGUACCUCUUCUCGACACUUGCUAUUGUUUUGUCUCUAAGUUCUCUAUGUAAAUUUUGAAUAUUUUUUCUCAUAAGGAUAUCCUCGGAAUGCACAACUGGUCACCUUUGAAUAAGUAAUCAUCAUAGAUAUGAUUGGACAAAACAAAAGGCAUAACUAACCAUUCAUAUGAGCCUUCUCUUGUCUUGAAUGUAGUAUUCCAUUCAUCUCCAGAGCUUAUGCGAAUUUGAUAAUAUCCGCUACGGAGAUCAAUCUUUGAGAAUAUCUUGGAGCCUUGUAGUUAAUCCAACACAUCUUCUAGUUGAGGAAUGGGAAUACCUGACCUUGAUUUUGUUGAUGGCUCUAGUAUCUACGCACAUCCUUCAGCUUCCAUCUUUUUUAGGUGUCAACAAAGCUCAUACAGCGCAUGGGCCCAUACUUUCUCGAAUAUGUCCAUUCCACAUAAACUCUUCUACCAUCUCCUUCAGCAUCUCAUUCUCUUUUGGGUUCAUCCAAUAGCGAGGUAAAUUUGGUAGACAAGCUCUUCGAGCCAAAUCAAUUUGGUGUUGAAUAUCUCUCACGGGUGGAAGUCCAUCUGGUAAUUCUUUAGGGAUGAUCUCUUUAAAUUCUUCCAAUAUCGAUUUUAGUUCGUUUGGAAUCUUUGAUUCAGGCAAUUCUUCUCCCUUCACAAUAAGAGCAUAAUAUACUCUUGUUUCUUUAGAACAAGCAAUAAAUUCUUGCACAAAGUUAAAGAUAGAUAAGAAAGACAUCCCCUCCACUUCAUAAGUGUUGGAUUCAUCUCCCUUUUUGUUAGUCAGUAGAAUGCCAAUUUUUUUCCCGUUAUACUAGAAUACGCAAAUAUUCUUUCUUCCAAAUUGGGUUGCAUUCACAUUAUACUGCCAUAGCCUUCCAAGUAGCACAUGGCAUACAUCCAUGUCAACUAUCUCAUAUAACUUCCUCCUUAUACCUUUUCCCAAUUGAGAGAGGAACUAUACAGAUCUCAGUUACAAUGAUAGUUGGGCCUUCUUUAAUACACCGUAGCUUGUAUGGUGUUGGAUGACCUUCCAUCUGUAAAUUUAAGUGUCUCAUUAAUGAUUUGGAUACAAUAUUGUCACAGCUUUUAUUGUCUAUGAUCAAUGCAUAGACUUUGUUAUUAACACUGCAUCAAGAAUAGAAGAUUUUCUUAUGCUGAGAUGGAUCUUCUUGCCUUGAGGUAAUAAUCUUUUUACAACACAUGCCACAUGUUCCUUUUUUCCUCUGCUAUUUCAGCACUAUCAAUAUCAUCAAUCGCAUCGUUUUGGGCAUCUUCUUCAUAAGUCAAUUUUGUGAUCUGUAAGGUUGACAGUCUUAUAAGCACGACACUCGUUGGAACAAUGACCAAGCUCCCCAUAUUUGAAACACUUCCCAAAUAAGGGUCGAGCAUAUGGAUUGUUUGUGGUAAUCGAUAUAUGCUUCGCUUGCCUUAUUGUUUUUUCAAUAUUUGUGCCUUGAUUUGUAGGUUAUAUUGACUUAGUCACAACUUGCUUUUCUUUGUUAAGAAUAGGCUGCGUCGUCAAAGUAGAGAAUUUCCAGGUAGCAAUUGGAGGUCAAGUCAACAGCAUUUCAGCCUUUAAUGUCAUAUUGUGAGCUUCAUCUACUGUUCAAAUCGGAGUUAGAGACAUUCCAUCUUUAAUUGCAAAUUUCAGUCCGUUGACGUACCUUGUUGUUUGCUGGUCUUGUGACUUUGACAAGUUAUAUCUAGCUGAAAGGCGUAAAAAUUCAUCAAUAUACCCGGUUCCAAAUUGAGUGCCUUGGAUGCAGUUUUGAUACUGUUGAAACAACAGUUGUUUAUAGUCUAAGGGUAGGAAUCUUCCUUUGAGAAGUUGCUUCACCUUUCGCUAUGUUUGUACUAGUGCCUUUCCUUAUCCUUUUUUUGUCAUUCUGUAAUGUAUCCCACCAAGCUGCUGUACUUCCUUUCAUCUUGUAUACAACAAGCUUGACUUGUUUUUUGAUCAGGAACAUCCAUCACCUCGAAGUCCCCUAGUUCAUAACUCCAGUCAAGAAAAACCUCAAUGCUGAGGUGGCCAUUAAAACUGAGGUCUACUUUGAGGUGGUAAUCCUCAAAUAUCCUAUCUCGUCUGGGUGAUGCUUGAUGUCUAUUAUAUCUUUCACUGUCAUCUUCUGAGUCAUCAUCAUAUACUGUUAGUUGUUAUGGGUGGAUAGUACCACGUUGGUUGAAGUGUCGAGAUUGAGUUGCACAUGCACCUCUUCAUUGGUUGGUUUUAUGAUAGUCCACAAUUCCUUCUUUUUCGUCUAACUUAUCUUCAUAGGUCGGUUGCCUACGUUGGAUUGGAGACCCGUUGAUGAUUAGGAUGGUCAUUAGCAUCAACUCAGGCACAAUUGAUCCUACCAUCAUCACGAACUUCUGUUGGCACCAAAACCCAAGUUAGUGAGCAUGUCACAAAUCUCUAAAAGUUCCCGGGUCAUCCUUGCUUCUUGUGCUUUUAACGUCGCCCAGAGGGCUCGCAUUCCCCGAUCAUUAUUGUUAGGGUUGUUGCCAUUGCUUCCAUCACGAAGGUCGUCAUUGUCGAAAUUUCCAUUGUCAUCAUCGAUAAUGCUGUCAUCGUUGUUACCAUUAUUGCCACUAGACCUCAUCUUGAUGGGCUAUAGGGUUACACUUAGCAAAUUAAGUUUCUGAUACAUAAAAUCCACUAUAAGUGGCAAGUGUAGAGCAUACUUCUUAAUUUCCUACCUACAAACCUAUUAUGCUAACAUCAAAAGCAAGACUCUAAUACCGACGCAGAACGAAAUCAAAAUAAAAAAAAAUACUACUAGAAAGGAUUUUAGCAAACUAACCUUAUAAGGAAGGAUGAGAGAAAUCAUCUCCUUCUAGUACAGAAAACCUUUACAAUACUUGAAGAUAUUGUUUCUUGAUGAUUCCAUAGGUUUAGAGGAGGCCUUUAUUUAUACUAGUUCUAGGCAUUAAAAACCAGAUAGCUAAAAAUGUGGGAUAAUUGAAAGAAACAUAAAAAUUGACAAUGUAGGAUAAUUAAAAGAAAAAUAAAAGUGAUAAGUGGGCAACUUUAGGCUCUUUGAAAAUAGUCUUCUUUUGCUUGUUCCACGUUACCUUGGCAAUUCCAACAAGCUUCAAAGUAUACGGGAUUUGGAGGUCCAUCAAGACAUCCAAAUAAGCAAAAUUUCUUCACCAAAAUAUGAGCAAACCCUUAAAAACAAAAUGAAUUUACUAUGAAACACAUCUAAGGCUGGUGAUUGCAGAACAUACGAAUUCUUAGACUCUUUACCCACAUAUUCCCUCCUUUAGGCUUCCUUCACUUUUCACCUAGCUCACAAAUAUAACCAAAAGAUUGUAAAUGGAAUAUUCUAAUAUGGCUCCAAUAAUUCACAAUAUUGCCAAUCCUUGAGAAAGUUAUACUUGUUGCGAUUUCUGUUCCUAGGCCAUAUUUAUGGUUCCCUAUAUUGAGCAUCAUCUAUGCUCGAUUAUGAUUUUACACUCAGGCAUGUCAUGGCCAGAUUUGCGAAUGAAGAUAAAUAACAGUCUGGGAGAGAACCAGAUCAAAUGUGUACAUUGAUAACUUCUUACUUGUCUUCCAAUAGCUCUAGCAACAUUAUACAUGUGGAAUAUCUUCAACUUAUUCUUUAAUAAUCAACCAAAUAAGUAUUGACACUAAAAUCAUUGCACCUCAGUAUGCUCAAGCAUCUAUUCUUGGUUUUCAGUAUUGACAUUAAGAAAGAAUUUGCAAAACAUGCUCAAGAAAUUAAGAAAAAUAAGGAAAUGAUAAAUGAAAAUUUGGAAAGUGUAAUUUCUUCGUAUCCUCCACCAACAGAAUCAUAUCUUGAAGAUAUAUCUUUUUCAUUAGAUUUAUAAUAUUUUUCUCUAUUUUGUAAUCAAAACAAAAAAGUUUAAUAAUCAAAAUUCACAAAAAUAAAAGUUUAAAACUCAACAGAAGCAUAGUGUCAGAAAGGCUAAUACAGUUUGUGUCAUAUUGGAAUAUCUGACACAAAAAAGAUUUAUAGUUC
rnacentral:lncRNA from 1 species